rnacentral:rRNA from 1 species
UACGAAGGACCCGAGCGUUAUCCGGAUUUAUUGGGUUUAAAGGGUGCGUAGGCGGACUAUUAAGUCAGUGGUGAAAGCCUUCAGCUUAACUGAAGAAUUGCCAUUGAUACUGAUGAUCUUGAGUAUGAUUGAGGUGGGCGGAAUGUGUCAUGUAGCGGUGAAAUGCUUAGAUAUGACACAGAACACCGAUUGCGAAGGCAGCUCACUAAGCCAUAACUGACGCUGAUGCACGAGAGCGUGGGGAGCAAACAGG